rnacentral:rRNA from 1 species
AGGGUGCAAGCGUUAAUCGGAAUUACUGGGCGUAAAGCGCGCGUAGGUGGUUUGAUAAGCGAGAUGUGAAAGCCCCGGGCUUAACCUGGGAACGGCAUUUCGAACUCUCAGGCUAGAGUAUGGUAAA